AUGGACAGCUUGCCGAAGCGCGACGCCAACCACGUGCCGCUGAGCCCGGUCACCUUCCUGCCCCGGGCAGCGGCCGUGUACGCCGACCGCACCUCCGUCGUCUGCGGCGGCACCGCCUUCACGUGGCGCCAGACGCACGACCGCUGCGUCCGCCUGUCCGCCGCGCUGCAGGCGCUCGGCGUCGCCCGGAACGACGUCGUCUCCGUGCUCGCGCCCAACACCCCCGCGCUCUACGAGAUGCACUUCGCGGUGCCCAUGGCUGGGGGCGUGAUCAACGCCAUCAACACCCGCCUCGACGCCGCCGGCGUCGCCGCCAUCCUCCGCCACGCCGCCCCCAAGCUCCUCUUCGUCGACUACCAGUACAUCCGCGUCGCCACCGACGCGCUCAAGAGCAUCGCCUCGUCCUCCCUGCCGCUGCUGGUGGUCAUCGACGACAUCGACGCGCCGACGGGGGCGCGCGUGGGCGAGCUGGAGUACGAGGGAUUGGUGGCGCGCGGCGACCCGGCCAGGCACCCGCCGCGCGAGGUGGUGGACGAGUGGGACGCCGUCGCGCUCAACUACACCUCCGGCACCACGUCGGCUCCCAAGGGCGUCGUGUACAGCCAUCGGGGCGCCUACCUCAGCACGGUCGGGCUGCUGCUGCAGUGGGGCGUGGGCCACGAGCCGGUCUACCUCUGGUCGCUCCCCAUGUUCCACUGCAACGGCUGGACCUUCACGUGGGGCAUUGCGGCGCGCGGCGGCGCCAACGUCUGCGUCCGCGCGCCCACGGCCGACGCCAUGUACUCCGCCAUCACCGACCACGGCGUCACCCACAUGUGCGUCGCGCCAGUGCUCUUCAACGUCCUUCUCGACGCCCACCGCGACCCACUGCCCCGUGCCGUCGAGGUGCUUACGGGCGGCGCGCCACCGCCGGCAGCGCUACUGGAGCGCGUCGAGCGCCUCGGGUUCCAUGUUACGCACGCCUACGGCAUGACCGAGGCGACCGGCCCGGCCAUGGUCUGCGAGUGGCGGGAGCGGUGGGACGCGCUGCCGGCGCCGGAGCGCGCUGCGCUCAAGGCGCGGCAGGGCGUGAGCGCGAUCUCCCUCGCCGGGGCCGACGUCAAGAACCUCAAGACCAUGGCGAGCGUGCCCCGGGACGGCACCACGCUCGGCGAGAUCGUGCUGCGCGGGAGCAGUGUGAUGAAAGGGUACUACAAGAACCCGGAGGCCACGGACGCGGCGUUCCGCGGCGGGUGGUUCCUGACGGGCGACGUGGGCGUGGUGCACCCGGACGGGUACGUGGAGAUCAAGGACCGGUCCAAGGACGUGAUCAUCUCCGGCGGCGAGAACAUCAGCAGCGUGGAGGUGGAGGCGGCGCUGUACGGCCACCCGGCGGUGCAGGAGGCGGCGGUGGUCGCCAUGCCGCACCCGCACUGGGGCGAGACGCCGUGCGCCUUCGUCGCGUUGAAGAAGGAGUUCGACUCCGGCGCCGGCGAGGUGAGCGAGGAGGAGCUGGUGGCCUUCUGCCGGAGUAAGAUGGCGCACUUCAUGGUGCCCAGGAAGGUGGUGUUCGUCGACGAGCUGCCCAAGAACGCCACGGGCAAGGUGCAGAAGCUCGCGCUGCGCGAGAGGGCGCGCGGGCUCAGGCCCAGAGAUUCCGACAAGAAGAAGCCCGACCCCACCCGGCCCACCACGUUGACCGCCCUGUCAAGGCUUUGA
rnacentral:rRNA from 1 species